rnacentral:rRNA from 1 species
UACGUAGGGGCCUAGCGUUGUCCGGAAUUAUUGGGCGUAAAGAGCUCGUAGGUGGUUCGGCAAGUCGGAUGUGAAAUCUCCACGCUUAACGUGGAGGGGCCAUUCGAAACUGCUGUGACUUGAGUCCGGUAGGGGAGUGUGGAAUUCCCGGUGUAGCGGUGAAAUGCGCAGAUAUCGGGAGGAACACCAGUAGCGAAGGCGGCACUCUGGGCCGGUACUGACGCUGAGACGCGAAAGCGUGGGGAGCGAACAGG